rnacentral:rRNA from 1 species
AUGGCGAAGAACAUUAAGCAGCUUUGGAGGAAUGGCUCGUCUGAGCGCAACAAGAAGAAGUUGGAUCCGGCAAACAUUGACCAUUUCCGUUUGCACCAUGUCGUUGUGCCCCAACAGGAAAACCCUAUUGACUGUGGUUUUUUCAUGAAUGAACUGCUGGAGACAUAUGAUGGUGAGAGUUAUGCUGCGUUUUCUCAAAAAGAUAUAUAUAUGGCCAGGGUUCAAUCCCUGUACAGGUGGAUUACUUGUGGGGUUUUUGACAUUAAUAUUCGCGAGGUGCUGCGUUAUUCUGGAGAUCUUAGGCUAGACGAGCCUAAAUUUAGUUUGUUCGAGAGCCAAUGUGAGACGCCAGAAAUUCAGGUAAUAUCGGAUGAUGACAUAUUGAAGUCAGUUGAAGCUGUUAAAGUAAAUAAGGACGAUGUGCACUCAAAAUCAAAGGGGGUGACUUGGGCUGCCCCAAAGGCUGUGGAUCGUUGUGUUGAGAGUGAUGAUGAUUCUUUUAUGCCUCCGGCGCCUAAAAAGGGUUUGCCGCCCAGAGCUGCUAGUCAUAUUAAAGCAACAGCGAAAUCACCUCUUGUUAUGAGUGAUGAUGAUGAUUUCAUUUUGCAUGGUGAGAGAACAGUGUUCACCAGGAGCAAAUCAGUGGAGGAGCCAUUGGUAGUGUCUAAUAAAAGGCCAGUUGCUCUGUCAAUGAGGCUGAGAAUGCUUGUGUGUGCGCUCAAGCCAUUCAAGUUUCCAUUUGUGGCUGUUGCAAAACAAAUUUUGGACCUAAUACUUAGCAAGGAGUUUAUCGACAAGUACCCACAGGUUCCUCUGUUUAAGUGCACUUCUCCAACUGGCGAUGAAUUUAUAGCUGAUGCUAAAUAUCUAGUUACCUGCUUUGGUCCUGCCGGUUGCAUUGAUACUGAGUUGAUGGAUCUUGUGAUCAGCUAUUGGAAGGGAAGCCCUGACUACAACCAUGUGUAUAAAUCCGGAGAUAGGGUGUUGCUCAGCCCGUAUGUGAUAAAUUAUCUUCUUGAAAUUGAUCCGUACCAUCGGCCAGUUGAUGAAGAUGGGCAGGAGAUCCUGAGGCCGCCCUUCAAUGUUAAACUUGCUGCUCAGAAGUUCAAGCUAUACAUAAAAGAGAACCUGCUCGCUGCAAACCUGAUCAUGCUACCAUAUUGGAAUCGGAAUCAUUUCACAUUGUACACUAUGAACAAGUAUCGUGAGUCCCUGGAUAUCCAUGACUCGUGGAGAUACACAGGGCGUAACUUUUCAAGGAAUCGAUUCCAUGAAGAACGUGUCGAAAUUAUGUCCAGGAUGUCGUUGUUGAUGAAGGAGGUGUAUGGCGAAGCUGCAUACAACUCUUCAAGACAGCCCCGUUGGGAACAUCUGGCAGAGAGAUGUAGCUAUGCGAAAAUGCCAGAGCAAGGGGUUAACGAAUGUGGCUUUUACAUGUUAAAAGCUGCUUUUUUGUAUGAUGGCAUCAAGCUAGUAGAGGAAGUGAAGAAGCGUGAUCCACAUUCUGCGUACUGGAAGGCCGAGUGCCUUUUUAUGUUCUUUUCCACCCUAAUAAUGAGGUUCGGCGCGACCAGUGGCCGGGGGAGAUGGCUGACAUUGCUAAGUUGUUAUAAGCGGGAUUGCAGGACAGCAGCGCAAGUAGAUGAAUAUGUCGAUGUGUUUUAUGAAUGUUUUUCUCAUGUUUUAUGUAUUUUUGGAGUUAACUGCACUAUUGUUCAAGAUGGUAACUUCAUGUCGUGGAGGAAGUUAACUGUCUCCUCAAAGCACAUUUUUUAUUCCACUUUCUACUAA